GCCUCUCUCUGAUUGCUUCAUUUCCCUGAUUGUGUUCACCUGAUACUCGUUACCCCUGAGCAGUUAGCCAUGUUUAUUACUCUCUCUCUCCCUUUCUCUCUCCGUUUCUCUCUCUCUGUGUGUGUGUUUAUAUUGAGAUUCUAAGCUGUCCUUUCUCCCUCUUCCUAGUUUCUAAUUUUUGUUCUUAUUGGACACUUUUCAUUUCUUUAGUUAAUUGUGCCUCCAUUUUUCUUUUCUUUUCUUUUCUUUUCCUUGCCUCUUAACCACUUUCCUCAGAGAAAGCAAGGAAAGAAAACUUGAACAGGUGAAACCAAGAGCAAACAUAUUUGCCAGCUAAACUGCCUGUCGCUUCUGGCUCACACUGCGCUGAACGAAGUGGAAAAACCUGUAGAGAUCGAGGACUAGAGUUCAGGAAACAGCAGCCAUAUCGCUCCACCCUCAAGUCAAGAUUCCUCCAGUUACAAAAGAGGCAGCAGUUGUUCAAAGCCGAGAUGGAGUGUACGGCUGUGUGUCCGACGCGACAAUGUCCGCUACACACGCUGGCAGCUGAUGUGAUGCGAAAUGGCUGAAAAUCAGAGGUGUUCCCUGUGGAGGCAGACUGGAGAGGAUUUGUAGCUAUUGUACUUUCCAUUCAGAUGAAAUGGAGGGGAGUCUGUAACUGAGCUUUAGACAGAACACUCUCAGAGGCAGCUGAGUGAAGUGAAGAGAAAAGAUUCCUGCUGGGAUUUUAGAUGAAUGUCAGAAAGCAGGAGAGGAAACAGAGACGGGAGGAACACCUCAGACACCAGGACACCAGGUAUAUCUGCUGAGGCUCUGAAGAUCCUGCAGGACAAACAGCGUCCACUUAAUCACCCAUAAUACCCUAAUCACCACGGAAAUGCUGCUUACAGGAUGCAACACAAAGUGCUUUAUAGCUGAAGAGACAAAUAAAUAAAGAAAUAAAGAAAUAACCCUGAGGCUCUGACUGAAAUGACAUUUUUUACAUUCAUUUUUGUGAUAAAAAUAUUUACUGGAAUAUUUAUCAAGAUACCAAGGCCUUAGAGGAAUUCUAUUCUAAUCUACUGAGAGGUAAGAAAAUAUUCCCCCGCUCUUUUGUAAGUGUAUACGUUACUGAGUUACUGAGACUGAAUCAGGAAAAUUUAAAAGUACU